rnacentral:rRNA from 1 species
UGAUAUUACCUUAUUAUUAGUGUCGUCCAAAACUGGUGCCAGAAGACUCGGUAAGGCCAGAGACACAAACGUUAAUCGUCUUAAUCAGGCGUAAAGGGUUUGUAGGCGGCUUUAAAAUUUACUUAUAAAAAUAAAUAAUAAGUAAAGAAUAAAAGCUAGAAUCAAAUAGAGGAUAUAUGAAAGAAUGCUUAGAGUAGGUCUGAUAUCCUUAGAUACUAAGUAGAAUAUUAAAGGCGAAAGCUUUUUUCCAUUAAUGAUUGACGCUCAGAAACGAAGGUGAGGAAAGGAAAUAGGAUUAGAUACCCAGAAUACCCCUCUCUGUCAACGAUGAAUGGUAGUUAUUAGUAAAAAAUUAUUAAUAGCAAUGUUAACACGAUAACCAUUCCGCCUUGUGAGUACAACUGCAAAGUUGAAAACAAAAAAAUUAGUCGGUUUCGGAGCAAACGAAGUGAAGCAUGUUAUUUAA